rnacentral:rRNA from 1 species
UGAGGAAUAUUGGGCAAUGCCCGCAAGGGUGACCCAGCAACGCCGCGUGGAGGAUGAAUGUCGUAAGAUUGUAAACUCCUGUUAGAGGGGAAGAAUAGUACCGGUUGGACCGGUAUAUGACUGUACCCUCAGAGAAAGCCCCGGCUAACUACGUGCCAGCAGCCGCGGUAAUACGUAGGGGGCAAGCGUUGUCCGGAUUUACUGGGUGUAAAGGGCGCGCAGGCGGGAUAAAAAGUCAGUGGUGAAAUCCUACAGCUUAACUGUAGAACUUGCUUUGAUACGUUUAUUCUUGAGUUCGGGAGAGAGUGACGGAAUUCCCGGUGUGGUGGUGAAAUACGUAGAUAUCUGGAAGAACACCAGUUGCGAAGGCGGUCUCUUGGUCCGACACUGACGCUGAGGCGCGAAAGCGUGGGGAGCAAACA